rnacentral:rRNA from 1 species
GCGAAAACUUUACAAUGCUGGCAACAGCGAUAAGGGAACCUCGAGUGCCAGGUUACAAAUCUGGCUGUCGAGAUGCCUAAAAAGCAUUUCAUAGCAAGGGCCGGGCAAGACCGGUGCCAGCCGCCGCGGUAACACCGGCGGCUCGAGUGGUAACCGUUAUUAUUGGGUCUAAAGGGUCUGUAGCCGGCCGGAUAAGUCUCUUGAGAAAUCUGGCAGCUUAACUGUCAGGCUUUCAGGAGAUACUGUCUGGCUCGAGGCCGGGAGAGGUGAGAGGUACUUCAGGGGUAGGGGUGAAAUCUUGUAAUCCUUGAAGGACCACCAGUGGAGAAGGCGUCUCACCAGAACGGCCCUGACGGCCAUCGACGACAGCUAGGGGCACUAACA